AAACUCGGAAAAAUAAUCCACCAAUCGUGUAUGUGUGUAUUCAUUCAAUCUUCCUUCUUUCUUUUUAUAAAAACAAAAACCAACCCCAACCCAACCAGCCCCAACCAACCAACAGAAACAAAAAAACACAAUCUUUAGCAGUAGUAGUACUUUUUUUCUUUAUUUCUUAUAAAUUGAAAUGACCAAGAAACAGAAAAUACA
rnacentral:ribozyme from 12 species